rnacentral:rRNA from 1 species
GACGAACGCUGGCGGCGUGCUUAACACAUGCAAGUCGAACGGAAAGGCCCUGCUUUUGUGGGGUGCUCGAGUGGCGAACGGGUGAGUAACACGUGAGUAACCUGCCCUUGACUUUGGGAUAACUUCAGGAAACUGGGGCUAAUACCGGAUAGGAGCUCCUGCUGCAUGGUGGGGGUUGGAAAGUUUCGGAGGUUGGGGAUGGACUCGCGGCUUAUCAGCUUGUUGGUGGGGUAGUGGCUUACCAAGGCUUUGACGGGUAGCCGGCCUGAGAGGGUGACCGGCCACAUUGGGACUGAGAUGCGGCCUAGACUCCUACGGGAGGCAGCAGUGGGGAAUAUUGCACAAUGGGCGGAAGCCUGAUGCAGCAACGCCGCGUGCGGGAUGACGGCCUUCGGGUUGUAAACCGCUUUCGCCUGUGACGAAGCGUGAGUGACGGUAAUGGGUAAAGAAGCACCGGCUAACUACG